rnacentral:lncRNA from 1 species
UCUGGACAUCGGGAACCAUUGCUAGAUGGUUACUUCGACUGGUACAGAAAUUAGUUUUUGUGCUAUUGACUUAGGUUUGAAUCUAUAGAGUCACACACAUAAGAGAUUGUAAUCUAAUCAGAUGGUUAAUCAAUGAUUGAGAAUCGUUCUAAGGUUAAACGAUUAAUGUGAUUGAUGUUUAACCUAAUACAAGUAUUGCAGGAGGAUCAAUUAGCAAUUAGAUUACUAAAUGG